CGCUAGGCUGCGCCCGCCUCUGUCCCCGCCUCUGCUCACGCCCCGGGGCGGUGAGGGUGCCAGCCUCCGAGCUGGGCAGCGAGUUCCGCCGAUCACGACGCCUUCCCACGUCGAUCCCAGAGGCCUGCCACCGGAAAGAAUCGCAGUUCUGCCUUGCUUUCGGGCUAGUUCUGAGAGAGCCAUUAAAGAGAGGUGCUCCUAGCUGCCCUGUCAGGGCUGAGUCAGCUUGGCCAGCUGGAAAACACCGAGUGCGACAGCGGCGACUGAGAACUGGCAAAUAAACGUUCAUCUGCCAUGGCGGGCUGUCGAGGAAGAAUGUGAUUAAUUUGUAACCCUCUAAAAUGCCCCAGAAGCUAGAGUCAUUUUUGAAUACCACAGAAGUACAACAUUCUUGGACUGGCCUGAGUCCCAUGCUGAACCAACAGCUCCCUCUGAAGUAACAAAGGUGGCCCCUGUGAAAGGGUUGUUUUACCCCCCACAAAGGAUUGGGAACCACUGGCCUAGUUUGUUUGCCAUACCAUAGGAAACAGUGUACAAGGUUUGCCUUUGGCUCGAUCCAAAAGGAUUCAAUUGGUCAGCUCUUGGAGCAUCUCCUUAGAAGGUCCAUCUAAAGGUGACAGCUAAUGCCCCAUCAGGAAUGGGAACAGAGCAGGCAGCAAAGGUACAAGUGAAAAUCAAAUUCUAACACGGAAGAUUUCUGGAGGGAACCAGGUUUCACAGACACCAUGAGAACCAAGUUACUGACCACGGGGCUGAGAGGAAGGUGAGUGAAGCUCACACAGGAUCACCACGCAAUGGAGGAAUAUUUGUGAUGCAUGUAUGUAGGUACACCGCAUACAUGAAGCAGAAGAUGGUAAAUCAUCUUGUGGUUGCUGAGAUUUGAACCUGGGUCCUCUGGAAAAGCUGCCAAUACUGUUACCUGCUAAGCCAAGUCUCCAGCCUAGGAUGGUUAAUCUUGAUGGUCAGUUUGCUUGGUUCUGAAAUCAACUGAAAGACACUUUUGAGCAUAUCUGUGAGAACAUUUCCAGAAGAGUUAACUGAGGGGAGAAGACUCUUCCCCAGACUGGGUGGCACUUUCCACAGAGCCCAGAAGAGGUGUAAGGAAAAGGUUUGCAUGAGUGCAUUUAUCCCUAUUGUCACUGCUGCCACCGUUUUCCCUGACAUCCAAAGAUUCUCCAGGGAUUUCCGAGGCUUUCAGUGUCAUAUUGGGACUUUUGCGGGAACUAGGCCGUUGGACUGAACAGCUACGUGGUUCUCUGUGUUUUCAGUGUAUAGACAACAAUCUUUGGAUGACAGGCUAUUAUUGUGUAAACCAAUUAAAUAAAUCCUGUUAUAACUGUA